rnacentral:rRNA from 1 species
UCGGGAAUUUUGGGCAAUGGGCGAAAGCCUGACCCAGCAACGCCGCGUGAGGGAUGAAGUAUUUCGGUAUGUAAACCCCGAAAGAAUGGGAAGAAUAAAUGACGGUACCAUUUAUAAGCUCCGGCUAACUACGUGCCAGCAGCCGCGGUAAUACGUAGGGAGCAAGCGUUGUUCGGAUUUACUGGGCGUAAAGGGCGCGUAGGCGGCGCGGUAAGUCACUUGUGAAAUCUCCGAGCUUAACUCAGAACGGCCAAGUGAUACUGCUGUGCUAGACUGCGGAAGAGGCAACCGGAAUUCUUGGUGUAGCGGUGAAAUGCGUAGAUAUCAAGAGGAACACCUGAGGCGAAGGCGGGUUGCUGGGCCGACACUGACGCUGAUGCGCGAAAGCCAGGGGAGCAAACG